rnacentral:lncRNA from 1 species
GACAGAAUUCUCUCCAGGAAACUGUGUGUGCUGUGCAGCAGACGCUGAGACCUGAAGAAUCAAGGUCCACCUGGUGGGAGAAACCUGAGUCCAGGGCAGAAGAAUCUCACUAUUUUAUUGGAUCGUCACAAUAACCUGCAUGAGCAACUCCUCAGCACAAAACAUUUGUCUCUGGGCAAGAGCAGGAGCAUUAACCGUGUGUGUGCCAUCGCCAGGCCCAGACAGUCCCUGCAGCCACGUGCAGCCAGUGAUCGGGACCAGGGGCAGCUGGAGAAGGGAAGAGAAAUGAGCCCGGUUCCCUCAGCUUCACUGUGUGCCCAUCAUGUGCCAGAUGAGCUCAGUAGCUGAAUGGAGAGGACAGAAGAAUCAGUAAACUUGAAAAUGGAACAACGAUAGACUUUAGAAAAGAACAGAGUCUCAAGGAUCUUUGAACUAUAACAAAAGAGCUAACCUUUGAUCAGAGUUCUAGAAGGAGAGAAGAAGGAGGGUGGGGCUGAGAAAGUACACAAAGAAAUAAUGCCAAAAACUCCACAAAUUUGGCUAAAGACAAAAACUUGCGGAUUCAAAAGUUGAGUAAGCCACACAUGGGAUAAAUCUAAAGAAAUUCGCUUCAGCACACAACAUAGUCAAACUUUAGAAAACUAAAGACAAAGAAAAAACCUUGAAAGAAACAAUAGAGAAAUGACACCUUACUUGUAGGAGAAAAACUAUUUAAAUGACAGCAAUUUUCUAAUCAGAAACCGUGGGGCCGAAAGGAGCUGUCACAACAGUUUUCAAGUGCUCAAAGAAAAGAGCCAUCAACCAAGAAUCCUAUAUCCAGCAAAAAAUAUCCUUCAGGAAUAAAGGGGGAAAUCAAGACAUUCUAAGAUGAAUGAAAAUUGAGAUAACUUGUUGCCAUUAAACCUAAACUAAGGGAAGUUGUCUAAACAGAAAGAAUAAAAGAAGGAACUUUGAGCACUAGGAAGAAAGAAGGAAUACAGUAAGC